UCAGGAUGAACGCUGGCGGCGUGCCUAAUACAUGCAAGUCGAGCGAACCACUUCGGUGGUGAGCGGCGAACGGGUGAGUAACACGUAGGUGAUCUGCCCAUCAGACGGGGACAACGAUUGGAAACGAUCGCUAAUACCGGAUAGGACGAAAGUUUAAAGGUGCUUCUGGCACCGCUGAUGGAUGAGCCUGCGGCGCAUUAGCUAGUUGGUAGGGUAAAGGCCUACCAAGGCGACGAUGCGUAGCCGACCUGAGAGGGUGAACGGCCACACUGGGACUGAGACACGGCCCAGACUCCUACGGGAGGCAGCAGUAGGGAAUCUUCGGCAAUGGGCGAAAGCCUGACCGAGCAACGCCGCGUGAAUGAUGAAGGCCUUCGGGUUGUAAAAUUCUGUUAUAAGGGAAGAACGACUUUAGUAGGAAAUGGCUAGAGUGUGACGGUACCUUAUGAGAAAGCCACGGCUAACUACGUGCCAGCAGCCGCGGUAAUACGUAGGUGGCGAGCGUUAUCCGGAAUUAUUGGGCGUAAAGAGCGCGCAGGUGGUUGAUUAAGUCUGAUGUGAAAGCCCACGGCUUAACCGUGGAGGGUCAUUGGAAACUGGUCGACUUGAGUGCA
rnacentral:rRNA from 1 species